CAUGUUGUUUUAACUCCGUACUUUUUGCCUCCACAGAUUAAGCUCGCCACAUAAUGAGACGGUCACCUCAUCUUAGUAGGAGCACUGUCCAUAAGCCCGGAAUUGCGCAAUGAAGGCCUGGAUAAAAAUGACUUUGUUGUUGCCUGCAAGACAUACUACGAGACCGUGCGUAGAAAUUUCCGGUACAGCCAGCCAGAGCUAGCAAAUGUGGCUGCAGCUAAUAAGACCUCAGCCCAGAGUCGCCAGAGGAGGAAGAGGCUCUUGGAGGCGAGGCAAAGUGUACAGGCUGCGGAUGAAGUGGACUUCUGGAGGGGAAUCACCG